rnacentral:rRNA from 1 species
CCUACGGGUGGCAGCAGCGGGGAAUAUUGCACAAUGGGCGCAAGCCUGAUGCAGCCAUGCCGCGUGUGUGAAGAAGGCCUUCGGGUUGUAAAGCACUUUCAGCGGGGAGGAAGGCGGUGAGGUUAAUAACCUCAUCAAUUGACGUUACCCGCAGAAGAAGCACCGGCUAACUCCGUGCCAGCAGCCGCGGUAAUACGGAGGGUGCAGGCGUUAAUCGGAAUUACUGGGCGUAAAGCGCACGCAGGCGGUCUGUCAAGUCGGAUGUGAAAUCCCCGGGCUCAACCUGGGAACUGCAUUCGAAACUGGCAGGCUAGAGUCUUGUAGAGGGGGGUAGAAUUCCAGGUGUAGCGGUGAAAUGCGUAGAGAUCUGGAGGAAUACCGGUGGCGAAGGCGGCCCCCUGGACAAAGACUGACGCUCAGGUGCGAAAGCGUGGGGAGCAAACAGGAUUAGAUACCCCAGUAGUC